CCUGUUCACGGACGGGGAGCCGCCGCCGCCCCUUCCCCUUCCAAAGCUUGCGCUCUUCCUCUCUUCCCCGUCCCCUCGCGCCGCCGGCCGCCAGCCCGCCGACUUCUUCGCCUCCGGGAAGCACCGCCUUGUUUUCUGUUCGGCGGCGGCCGUUGUCGAGCUCGAGCCCGGGUGCGACGGCGCGUUUUUGAGCAUGGCUGCGGCCCGAAGCGGCGGGGGUAGAGGCGCAGGGCGAGGAGCACCCGCCGGAGGCGCUCGAUGUGGCUCCCCCGUCACUCCUUCUACGCUGACUGCAGGGUUAGGAUUUGCUAUUGGAUUGGUGACUGCCGUGAGCUGAUAACAUAUCAGGUCACUAUGAUCUCCCGUCCCUAUUGAUCGAGGAUGCUUUGCUGGUUCUGCCUUUGCUCGGCCAUCCCAUUGCAGGUUGCCACCAAUGGGAAUACAGCCAGUGGACUGGUUUUGCUUGUCAGCGACCAAAACAAGAACAAGUCAGUUCUAUCUAUACAUAUUCAACUUUGGGGAUGAUUGGAGGCUCUGUGUUCAUAGUUUAUAUGGGUCAUCUUUAUAUCUGGGCCAUGGUGGCUGUGAGAGCUUUUUAACCUACUCAGAAGAUCGAGCGAAGAGAAGCAACUGUCAGGGCUCAGGCUGCUGGAUUGGUAGCUUAUAUGGCAUUCUGAUUAUACUAUUAUUUUGAACCAGAAAAUUGUCAAUGACUACAUAUAUCUUUGUGGAAACAAGUUUCAUCACUUCUUCACAGACACUUCUUCAUGGCAUUCUUAGUCGGGAGCUUGGUAACAGCUUAAACUUCAGAUCACUUGCUGUAUAGGGUUGUCAGCAGCAUAAUAAAGUGCCCGAAGUUUAUUUGCUAUUUUUCUUUAUAUUGCAGGUAAGGCUCAAUAUAUCUUUCAGUAUGCAAAUAAUUUCCAUUGAUGACGAUUUGUUUAAAAACUUCCAUCUCGUUUUAAGAAUAUUUUUAUCCUAUAAUAUGUGUAAAGAGCUUAUCGAAAUCAGAGUAAUAGACUGUAUCGUACCCAUGACAUUUACAGCCUGCUUGGUACUGAAUAUUGCAGGGAGAUGCACAGUACAUAUAAAACUAUGUAAGAAAAACUGUUUCUUGCACAUUUGGACGGAUUGUGAUAUAACUUAUAUAUUCCAUUUUACUGUAGUUUAGCAUGCUGUACAAUCCUGCUAUCCAUGGAUGAUUGCGCCUGUUUCUUUCAUGCGGUCCAUUUUCCCUUCAGGAUAUGUUUUGAAAACAUGUUAUCAUGUAGAUUUGUGCAGUCAUGGUCAACUGGUAUAGAUAUGUAUAGUUUCAAAAGAACAUUACAAAUAUGUAUAGUUUCAAAAGAACAGUACGACAACUAAUUAUCGCUGACUUGCAUCUCUCUUUUUGUUGUGUUGAUUGCUUUUGCCAAGUCAUUUUGUCCUUUACUAUAUUUAGUUAUUUACCAAUGCUUAACAAUACCACUUUUGCUUGGCUAUAGUAGAUCUUGCAGGUUGUAUGAUUCCUUUUAUACUUCCAAAUUUUUAUUAGUUACCACUAUAUACUUCCAAAUCUUGUACUGAACCUGCUCAAUAGUAGAACAGAGUUCAGUUAUCUGAAUCAUAGCAGCACACACAUACACCGCAGUUCGUAAUGUCAUUUACUAGGGGUUGCGUUAGGGUAUUUUAUUUCCAUUAUAAACUGAUAAUAAUUAUGAGUUUAGUAAGGUAACAAUAAUCUGGGUUAUAGCAGAACAUUAGAUGUGGUAUGCUUGUAUGAGUAGAAUGUAGAGUUUAUAAAUGAACUAAAAUCUGAGAGCAGGAAGUGGUAGGUUUAAUUUCAGUUAGAAAAAUUGGUGUACUGCAGCAUCAUAUAUUCAGGUAAUCCCUUGCAUUUUUUUGCCAUGUUCAAGCUUUAUACAUCGUUUGUAUAUGCAUAACAUACGCAACAUAAACUGGAGUUCGUAGUGUCAGGAGUAAGAGGGGUGCAACUAAGUAGUAGCAUGUUACAGGAUAAGAACGGUUGUUUAGUUUAACAAUGCCCUUUAACAGUGUAACUCCAAAGAGGUCGGAUAAAAUGAAUUAUUGAUAUAUCUGAACUCUAGAGUAUAAGAUGCAUCUUCCUACGCUUCAUGAGAUCACGGUUAUCGUACCUAUUUAUUUGAGAUAUGCUAAGUGUUCCUUUGAUAGUAGAUGCAACUUGCAACUAUUGUGGACGUUUGUUUGUUUGUGGGAAAUUUUAUCUCUUCCCUACAGUCAAAGCUCAUGUGCAAUUUGGAGAGAAAUGCACGCAUGCUAUCGCUGCAUUUGACAAUUCCUUUUAGGUAUCAAACCAAUAGCGGCUUACGUUUCCUGGUCAUUUUUCUCUUGGAAAUGGAAGUUGUUGCUUCCUAGGUGAGCUGAGGCACGGGAAUGAGUUUGCACCUACUGUUGGAUUCUUCCUUACUACCCACCCGUCUCAGGUACUUGCCCCUGUUCCAAAUCAAGUUCAUCACCUUUGAAGUACGGUGAUUUAUAUAUCCCCUUUUAUUGUGUACUAUAGUUUAAGAGUUUUCUCCGGAACUGAUGCUAUAACUUCUUAAACUACAGUUACAUGUAUAUCCGAGUCUGAAUCAGAUAACUCACAGUGCUCAUGUGUAUUUAUGUAUCAAGAUUCACAUAUCCUGUCUAUAGAGUGGUGGGUGAAAAAUAGUUAAGAAAACAAUGCACCUGGAAGAUGUACUAUACUUGGAAAGAGAAGAGCCAAACAAAGAUUUUUCAUACUGUGUUGGAAAUUUCGAGCGGUCUUAGCUGUCAGAAUUCUGAUAAUUACACACAAUUGCUUGUUUACAUGUACUCAUCUCCUGCCUGAUAUUUCCAGGUGGUCGUUCGUAGAUGGCAUGCUCAAGAGGAACACAUCAUAUUACAUAUUUCUAGGAUUCAAGGUCCCCUGACCUUGGCCAAGGACUAUGACAUGGAGUGACCUAUUAAUGUUGUUGACACAUCUUCUCUACAUUUAUACUGUAUAAGGAUUCACUUCGAUUGCAGUUUCCCUACCCGAAGUUCAUCCACGGCUACUGGACUGACUGACACUUGAGCUUUGAUCAUGGAUGCAUGAAUAUGACAUCAGUCCAAAUAUUCCAGACAUAAAUUGUUCUUGUGAGAGUGUUGUCUCCCUACUUUUAUGGCAGAGAAUGGUGUGGCACCGAUGAUUGAUGGAGUAGGAUUUAACCAAGCUUGGUGUUACCAAGCUACACCCGUUAUCACCUGAAGUUAUCUCACGCCAAGCGAGGAUCAACAUUGGAGUUAAAGGUCAUAGUGGCAACGCCGCUUGGACUGCUUCUGGACUUCCACGGUGACACUAGGCUGUUCCAAGGCCAACUUGAGCUCCUCCUUGUGCAGAUCCGUGUGUCACAACAUGCAAGCAAAUCAAAUGAAGGAGUGUGGACAAAGACAAAGUUAUAUAUCAAGCAAAUCAGAUGAAGGCGUGUGGACAAAGUUAUAUAUCUAAUGGUCAACCAUGUAGUUUACUACUAUGGCCUGCUUUUGGUUUCUAUCAUACCAAACCUUGCUUAGGUAUUUCAUUGUCACAUUUUAUAACAAAUGCGCGGAUGGCAUGUAGAUAGUCAUUUUUAUAUAUUUUACGAGGUCAUUACUGUUGUGAGUAUCUACCAUCACCUACCCUUUGAGUAAUAUCAGAUAUAUUUCUAUCC